rnacentral:lncRNA from 1 species
UGUAAUGAGAAAAAAGUUUCUACAUUUCUAUCACUAUAUAGUGUGAAGUGAGGUUUAAUUAUGUGUUUACCAUCACUUCCGUCGCCGUUGGCGCUUCCAUACCAGGUGGCAACUGCAGGAAGCCAAUGCGACUUUGAGGCGUGGCUAUUGGUCGUCACUGGAGCGGAGGAGCUAUUCAGAAGCCGCAGGAAAAUGCAGAGCGUGGCUAAGAUGAUGGCCAGAGAGAGCUGCAUUUUACCCCAAGAAGUAUGUUUUGCCGACAGUGAGAGAGAGAAAGUGAGUGAGUGAGUUGUGGAACUGAUAUGUCAGUGUUGUUGUUGUUAUAUAGAGAAAAAUAAGCAAACUGCUUUUCUGUGGUUUCUCUUUUUGUUUGAAGUCUUUGCCAGUUUGGUCCCUUGCCGUUGCUCUUAUUAACGGUGAGAUGCCACACUGAUAAGACCUACCGACAGUUAAGGCGUAGAUUUCGCUCGAUCCAGUGCGUAAUCGUCAUGGGACCUAUAGGGGUAAUUUGGUACAUUUUUAGUUUAGACCGUUGUUAAUCUCCCGCAGAUUCUGUGGAGGAGAAGAGGAAUCCGUUAAGACACUGACUUGCCCUUGCCCAAUCUCUUAUCUUCUGAUUUGUUUUCUUCCUGUUUAUUUUUUCACGUGUUAUGUUCUUAGAUUUUAUGUUUCAUUACAUAUAUAUUGAUAUAUAAUUUAGUUAUAUACAAACUUAAACAUCUGUACUAGUACAUUUUUACAAAACUACUACUGUUUGUGUAUAUUAGUCGAUGAAAUGUAUUAUAUGAUUUACGUAAAGCAAAACUUUGUGGCCAAUCUCGUACGCACAACGCAUGAAUCAUUGCCAUUGCGAAUAUAUACUAUAAUAAUAGAGGUAACGGUUUUCACGCUAAUUCGUAUGCUAUAACGAACAACCACCUUUAGCUCACUAGUGACAUAUUAGUUCGUUGUUUUGUUAUUAUUGACGAUGGUAGGGCAAUAGAUAAUAACUAUAUGAUGGUCACUCAGUCCCAGAUCUUAUUAAAAGGUGGAUCCACGAUUUGUUUUAUUUUAUAAGCAAAGCAUUGUUGGAUAAUUCCAAGCUUGUGGAAACUUAAUAUAUUAUUAGAUGUUUAAUAUGUUAAGAUAAACACAAUAAGGAAACUUAGAAAUAGGAAAAGAAGUUUCUAUUUAGGUUAGGUUUGUGUUUUCUAUAUCCCACAUGUUAAAGGGAAUUGUCUUUCAUAUAAAUAUAGGUCUAAUGGAGAGGUGUUCCAAAAGAUCUAAGUAAAACAUAUUGAGAGCUUUAGUUUUGAGUAGUUUCUAAAGCUAAUAAGAAAAGUUGUUCUUAUAACUCUUUGUGUUUCUAAGAGAUUUGAAUUGGUAUCAGAGCCUCAGGUUGGAGACUCGAUCUAAGCUUAAGUUGUAGCUUAAGAUCCUGGUGCUUGUGAACAAGAGAUCGCGACGGCAAGAUGGCUGACGUGACUAGGGCUCCACGCACGAAGGACUUUGGAUCUACAUCCAUCCAAUGUCCGAUGUUGUCAUCGACAAACUACACAGUUUGGUCGAUGAGGAUGAAGGUUCUACUACGUGUUCAUGAAGUGUGGGACACAAUCGAACCCGGUUCAGAUGAUCAAAAGAAGAACGAUGUUGCGAUAGCUCUUUUGUUUCAAUCUGUUCCAGAGACUUUGAUUCUCCAGGUGGGAGAACAAACCGCAUCAAAAGAGAUCUGGAACGCCAUCAAAUCACGACACCUAGGAACUGAUCGUGUAAGGGAGGCGAGACUUCAGACGUUGAUGACAGAGUUUGAUAGGUUGAAGAUAGAUGAUGCAGAUACGGUCGAUGACUUCACGGGGAAGAUAUCAGGCCUAUCAUCCAAAGCAACAUCGUUGGAAGAAAACAUAGAAGAAUCCAAGAUGGUCAAGAAGUUCUUGAAGGGUCUUCCAAGACACAAGUAUAUCCAGAUCGUAGCAUCACUUGAGCAAGUCCUAGAUCUCAACUCGACGGGGUUUGAAGACAUAGUUGGAAGGCUUAAAGCGUACGAGGAGCGUCUAGGAGAAAAAACUCAGAAAGAAGACCAAGGGAAGCUGAUGUUUUCGAACAAUGAAGAGCAUAGUCAGAGGGGCUAUGACAAUUCCCGUGGUAGAGGAAGAGGACAGAACGGUAGAGGCAGAGGUCGAGGUAGGUCACACAACCAAAACCGUGCGUCACACACCGAAGAUAACAACUCGAAGAAGAAUCGUUCAAAGUUGAUAUGUUGGAGAUGUGACAAGCCUGGUCACUACGCAACUGUUUGUCCCGAAAAGACAGAGAAGAAUCAAGAAACCAACCUAAACGAGACAGAAGAGGCUGAUGCGCUCUAUGUACACGAGGUAGUGUUUUUGAACGAAGAUAAGGUGAUUCCAAAGAAUCUUGAUAUCGACAAAGGCAGUGCAAGUGUCUGGUAUUUGGAUAAUGGAGCGAGCAAUCACAUGACAGGGAACAAGGAGUUCUUUUCGAGUUUGAAUCUCAACACCAAAGGGAAGGUGAAGUUUGGUGAUGGAUCGUGUGUUGACAUUGUAGGAAAGGGUGUGGUUACCUUUGUGUGCAAGACUGGAGAGAAGAAGGCACUCAAGGACAUAUACUACAUACCCGAUCUGAAGCACAAUAUAUUGAGUCUUGGGCAAGCAACAGAAGUGUUUUGCCCGCUGACAAAGUGUUGAGCUUGAUGGAGAAUGGUCCUUUGAGUGGUCCUCCAACGAUGCACCAGUUGGCUCCCCAUACGUGCUUCAUCUCUAGCCAUUCACUCGCUCCUGCCUGCACCAUUUAACAAAGGAAACCCAUCUUUACACUUUUGAGUCUGUUUUAUUGUUACUUUAGUAGACUUUGGCAGACUUUACUGGUGUGCCUUUCUAGUUGGUCAAUAAAGAACCAUGAGUGUGCUCACUCCACUAAAACUUUUCCUCCUUUUUCGUUUUAGUAUUAUACAAAAUAAACGCAUACUUUGAAGUGGAAGUGACUUUGUGGUAAGAAAAAGGAAACUAAAGUCUAAAAAGAGAUUAAAAAAAAAGAGUUUGGUUAUAAAGAAAAAGAAAGUACUUGGCGAAUAUGCAUGGAGCCAAUGUCGCCUUCUCCAUCUUCAAACUCAACCAGCAGAGACAACCAAAAAUCAGUUGAUCCUUCGUUCACAUGGAACGCAAUGUUCUUCCCUCUAUACUUGCAUGCCGUCCUUUUUUAAUAUUAUGCAACAAAAAAUCAAAAAUGAAAUGGUCAACGGUCAAAAAUGUCAGGGACCAUUUAAAAACGAGAUCUCGCCGCUAAAGCUCACCAAUUGCAAUAAAAUCUAAUAAUUUCUAACCACAUAAUUCCUAUAUUUUAAUUCGCUCGUGCACUGUCACGAGUUAGUUAUUGUCAUUGAUGAAGAAAAUAAACAUUAAUAAAUGACUUUAAAAGAGAAUAAUAAAGUAAACAUGUACCGGCGGUAAAUCACGGGGAUGAGACCUCGGUUGCGGAGGGGACCAGAUUCUCCUGAGAUAGCCAGUCGACCAAACGCCGCGCCACUAAGAUCAAAGUGAGUGUUGGUUUUUGAACAGCCGGGACACUCGUCGGUGAUGAUGACGGUGACGGCUCUCCGGGAACAUAUACUCCUGUCCAAGCACCGAACCUUGUAACAAGCUCCGCAGCCUUCACCGUUUUUGAAGAGGAUAGGAUUCACCGCUCCAACCCUCGCAUGUAACGGUUUCACGUCCACCAACGUACCGUACCCACACGCUCCUCCUGUAUUACGGUAUGUAAUGAGAAAAAAGUUUCUACAUUUCUAUCACUAUAUAGUGUGAAGUGAGGUUUAAUUAUGUGUUUACCAUCACUUCCGUCGCCGUUGGCGCUUCCAUACCAGGUGGCAACUGCAGGAAGCCAAUGCGACUUUGAGGCGUGGCUAUUGGUCGUCACUGGAGCGGAGGAGCUAUUCAGAAGCCGCAGGAAAAUGCAGAGCGUGGCUAAGAUGAUGGCCAGAGAGAG